GUAAUGAAAUAAUAGUCUUCCUUUCAACCUCCUCCUAUUUAAUCUUUUAUUGUGAUGAAUGAGAAUUCUGGUGGUGAAGCCUCUAUUCAGAUAAGAAAUUUUUUGAGGAGAGGAAGUGAACUGUCAUGUGGAAGCUCCGAUUAAGAAGCCCAUAGAUGGUUUGAAGCUUCAUGUUUGUCGUCGAAGGUAAAUAAGAGAGCACCAAGGUCCAAGGAACAAGAGGACUUGCUCCUUGCACAAGAACUUCAGAUGCAACUCGAUAUGCUUCAAGAGAUGAUAGGACACGGUUGGUGCCGUCUGAAUUUUUCUAUAGUAUUUAUCUCAAGAGACAAGAAAUUCUUCGUAUGAAGUUAUUUGAACAGUUGUAAUAGGUAAUUUAUCCAUUGUUGUAGUUCAUAGCAGAAU